rnacentral:rRNA from 1 species
AGAGUUUGAUCCUGGCUCAGAACGAACGCUGGCGGCAGGCUUAACACAUGCAAGUCGAACGGGCCCUUCGGGGUCAGUGGCAGACGGGUGAGUAACACGUGGGAACGUACCCUUUUGUUCGGAAUAACCCAGGGAAACUUGGGCUAAUACCGGAUACGCCCUUUUGGGGAAAGAUUUAUCGCAGAAGGAUCGGCCCGCGUCUGAUUAGCUAGUUGGUGAGGUAAAGGCUCACCAAGGCGACGAUCAGUAGCUGGUCUGAGAGGAUGAUCAGCCACACUGGGACUGAGACACGGCCCAGACUCCUACGGGAGGCAGCAGUGGGGAAUAUUGGACAAUGGGCGCAAGCCUGAUCCAGCCAUGCCGCGUGAGUGAUGAAGGCCUUAGGGUUGUAAAGCUCUUUCGGCGGGGACGAUAAUGACGGUACCCGCAGAAGAAGCCCCGGCUAACUUCGUGCCAGCAGCCGCGGUAAUACGAAGGGGGCUAGCGUUGUUCGGAAUCACUGGGCGUAAAGGGCGCGUAGGCGGCUUUGUAAGUCGGGGGUGAAAGCCUGUGGCUCAACCACAGAAUUGCCUUCGAUACUGCAUGGCUUGAGACCGGAAGAGGUAAGUGGAACUGCGAGUGUAGAGGUGAAAUUCGUAGAUAUUCGCAAGAACACCAGUGGCGAAGGCGGCUUACUGGUCCGGGUUCUGACGCUGAGGCGCGAAAGCGUGGGGAGCAAACAGGAUUAGAUACCCUAGUAGUCC